rnacentral:rRNA from 1 species
UACGGAGGUAGCAAGCGUUGUUCGGAUUCACUGGGUGUAAAGGACAUGUAGGCGUCUCUUUAAGUCGAAUGUGAAAUCCCUUGGCUCAACCAAGGAACUGCAUCCGAUACUGUUGAGAUUGAGUACGAGAGAGGUAAGCGGAAUUCCGGAAGUAAGGGUGAAAUCUGUAGAUAUCCGGAAGAACACCAUUAGCGAAGGCGGCUUACUGGCUCGAUACUGACGCUGAAAUGUGAAAGCUAGGGUAGCAAACAGGAUUAGAUACCCCAGUA